UACGUAGGGGGCAAGCGUUGUCCGGAAUCAUUGGGCGUAAAGAGCGCGUAGGCGGCUGGAAUAGUCCGGUGUGAAAUCCACAGGCUUAACCUGUGAAUGCCGCUGGAAACUGUCUGGCUAGAGUCCGGAAGGGGCGAGUGGAAUUCCUGGUGUAGCGGUGAAAUGCGCAGAUAUCAGGAGGAACACCAAUGGCGAAGGCAGCUCGCUGGGACGGUACUGACGCUGAGGCGCGAAAGCGUGGGGAGCGAACAGG
rnacentral:rRNA from 1 species